UAUCUAGAGGGAGAUUAAUGCUUUCUCAUGGGAUAUUAAUGCUUUCUUUUCCUCUUAUUUCAGCUGAAAGCAUCAGACUGAAAGGUUGAGCGAGUUUGGGAAUGGGGAGAGCAAAUAUAGAAGUUUUUAUUUGAGAUAAUUUAAAUUGACAGCUUUCACGUAGCAGAAGCUGUCUGCUAUUGCACUCUUCCCUCUGCAUCCCAAGGAUCUAAGAUAGCCAGGUGCAUCUUUUUCACCAAAAACAGACAGCAUUUUCCCCAGUAAGAACAGAGGCCUGCAUAGGUGGGUGAUUCUGGAGCCCCAGCUCAGCACUUGGAGAGCUAGAUCCCUGAUUUUGCACAGUCACAUGUAAGAACCAAGCUAUUGGACUUCCGCCAACAAGGAAGUAACACAGACUUUCAC